AAUAAAAUUGAGAAUGGAAAUGGGGAAUGUGCCAAAGAGACAACAACCCUACCAUAGAGCAGACAACAGCAGAAGGUCACCAACAGGUCUUCAAUGCAACGAGAAAUUCUCGCACCCGGAGGCGUCCUUCAGCUGGCCCCUAAACAAAUAUAUACUGGUUCAGUGAUAAUGAACACCAUACUAAACUCCAAAUUGUACACAAGG
rnacentral:lncRNA from 1 species